UGCCCAGCAACUCCUAUCCCUACCUCCUCGUGGCACUGGCCGGGUACUAAUAACUUCAAGGAAGAUCGGGUAACCAACCCCAGGGGGAACUUUGGUCGUAUGCUGACAGGGAAGG
rnacentral:ribozyme from 1 species